AUAGCAUUUUACCCCCCUUUAAAGAAAGAAUCAACCGAUGCGCAAGGUGAGUAAAGGCUCCAAAAUAAAUACACAGCUUUAUUAUUUGUAUACUAAUUCCUACACUGGCACAUUAAACUGUAUAUUUUUUAUUUAAAAUGUUUUUUUUUUUAACCAUUAAUUUAAUAGCCGCGAUGCUUAUGAGUCUAAUGCACCUUUGUGGGACGAAAUGGAGACUAACGUAAGUUAGUUAGGUUUACACAUAAUGUUUACGGUUAUUCAUUGUAACUCUUUUCUUUAACUUUUCUAAAUUAUUGUGGUCGUUUACGUUUGUUAAAUAGUUAUACAUCCAUGUUAACAUACAUGUUACUUUGUCUAUUAGCCUAUUUUUCUACAGUAAUUAUUUAUUUGACAUUGAAAUAACUGAAACGGUGUUUCAGCUUGGCCUAAAGCAAAAUUCUAUAUGACUGUAUACACUGUUACACUGAACUGAAUUAAAAAAAAAAAAAAAAAAACUACCCAUAUGUUCUUUUUAUUCAGCAGUUAAUAAAGAAAUGUGGCUCUGUAAUGGACACCUGUGAGGCAGUGGACAGACAACUGCUGAUGUCUGAUGCUGGCUGACAAUAAACAGACCUCUCUGGACGUACCCCAUCUUUUGCAGAGUAAUUCUAACAUUGCCCUUCCUGUAACACGAUGAUCCUGCUGUCCUAGACUGUAUAUGAUGAGGAACAGCCAGCAGUGGGAGUGACCAGCUGUUGGAAUCGGCGAUAGAACACAAAGGAUAAACAGAUGACAAGCAGAAGUGGUAUGUUGUUGUUGUCUACUCUUUCUGUUUUUGUCUCAAUGUCUUUUGUCACAAAGAUGAAUUCUCUACAACUCUGGAUCCUCUGAAGUGAAUGGAUGCAAUCAAAAUGAGAUUCCAAACAGCUGAUAAAAGCAUCACAAUAAUCCACAGGUAACACAAGACUCCAGGCCAUCAGUUAACAUUUUGUGAAGAGGAAAGCUGCAUGUUUGUAAGGAACAAGAAACAGCAUGUGAGACUUGUCACAAAAGAUCGUGACUCCCCGUCUAGGGAAAAGGGUGCAACAUGAAAUUAAUUUCAUAUACAACAAAUUGCCAGUGAGUUUGUUGUAAUUUGAAUAUGGGAGCUAACCAGGCCAAAAUAAACAGAACAGUCUAGUUUUUAACCCUCUGUCUUACCCUAUUAAAAGGAAAGAAAAUACAGUAUACUUAUCUGAUGGCUAUCUGGUGACACCUUGACUAGUCAGAUGACGUCUCACCCCCUUUGAACACUAUCGCUUAGGACAAAUAUCUUCUGUGUUUCACUAAAGAGAGAAUCCCCAUGACAAAGAUGACAUGAUUACAUAAUAUUUAUGUAAUAUAACCGAUUGUUUUUAUUUGUGCAGUGUAGCAAUGUGUCCGUUUAAGUGCACACCCAAAGCACACCUUUUUCACAGCUAAAUACCAUAGUUUUCAUUCUUAAAAAAUAGGGAGGACCAACACUGCGAGCAGCCCAAGCAAACAAAGGGCAAUCCAAAAUCAGUGUCAUAAAACAGACAAAGGGGACAAAUAAACCAGCAAGGCUCCUCAGAUACAAACUAUUUUCAACUCAAACAAGCAAUAGUCAGGACACAGCAUCAUCACCCGAAGGAGCACAUCAAAUGAUAAAGCAGAUGUCAUGCAUGUCAGUAGACCAGGAAGAUUUUAAAGGUUUUAAGAUUUUUUUGCACAUCAUAUGACCCCUUUAAACAAUAUACAUAUAUAAUACUUGCACAUGCACCUAAGAAGAAACCCUUCUUAAGAUAUUUAUGGUCAGUUACAAUAACUUAGGACAGUAAAGAGACCUUUCUACUGACUGACAAACAGGAGAAAGAUGCCAAAGGUUUCUGAUCACUUGCAUGAACAUGUCGUAAUCCCGCCGCAGGAGGCAUAAGAAAAGCAGAUGUGGCCACAGCAAUAAACUGCAAUAUCCAUAAUGUAAUAUUUUAAAUAAGAGGAUCCAUUGAUAAACAAGUAAUGGAACGCAAAGUCCCUUCAAAUCUCUUAUGAUCAACAAUACAUUUUGGAAGACUUGAGGGCGAGUACAUUUUCAGAAAAUGUUAGCUUUUUUGCUGAACUCUUCCUUUU